rnacentral:rRNA from 1 species
GGCAGACGGGUGAGUAACGCGUGGGAAUCUACCCAGUCCUAAGGAAUAACUGAGGGAAACUUCAGCUAAUACCUUAUACGCCCUACGGGGGAAAGAUUUAUCGGGAUUGGAUGAGCCCGCGUUCGAUUAGCUAGUUGGUGGGGUAAUGGCCUACCAAGGCGACGAUCGACUAGCUGGUCUGAGAGGAUGAUCAGCCACACUGGGACUGAGACACGGCCAGACUCCUACGGGAGGCAGCAGUGGGGAAUAUUGGACCAUGGGCGCAAGCCUGAUCCAGCCAUGCCGCGUGAGUGAUGAAGGCCUUAGGGUUGUAAAGACUCUUUCAGUGGGGAACGAUAAUGACGGUACCCACAGAAGAAGGCCC